CCAGGAUCCCACCGAAGAGAUGGUGUCGAAGGACGGGGACCACCACAGGCGACGCGGAAGACCCGAGGCCCCAAGGUGCGCCGCAAGGAAAGGUGUCGGUCCAAGGCUCCAGCUCUUCCUAAAAAUCUUCCGUUGCUGUCCGCCGCCAGCCGCUGGCAGUGGCAGAGGACCGGCGUGAAGGCGGCCCCUCGGGCUGUGUGGCUACUGGAGCUCCGGGCCACAGCUCAGUGGUGCAACGCAAAGUCGGCGUGGGGCUGAGCCCAGUGCCCUCAGCGCCUAACCAGACGGAAGGUGGCGCGGCGCCGCUGCAAGGGGUCCUUUACCCAAGGGAUGUCCUUGGAUCCUUGUUCGAAUCACCGGCCUCCUCGCUGAGCCUCCGUUUACUCCUGUAUGCAACCCAGGCGGAACCAGCUAUAUCUACUUCACAAGGGUGCGGAGAAGAUGGAAUGAAACGCCUGCUCCCUGUCUCUCUCUUAUUUUUCUCUACGCCUAGCCAUAGAGCUGCGCUCACAAUCCGGGAUUCAAAACUAUCACUGACCCCACUUCUUUUCAUAUAUUAGCUCACGUAUUAGCUCAGUUAAAUCCUCAAAACGAUCCCAUUAAGCAGAUAAUACUCGUAUUCUGUGUUUCAUAUGAGAAAACAGGCAAGCCAAGUCGUGUAUGUUGCUGCCUAAGAGCCGCACUAGGCAGGCAUGUGAACCCAGGCAAUCUAGUUUCUGAAUCCAUACGCUUUACCAUGCCAUUACACUGUUAAAGUAGCAGGCUACCAUCCAUUCUUUUUUUCUGGUUGCUGAGAGGAAGCAGUCAAUGUGAUUGUCGUUUCAGCAAUGCUUCCUAUCCUUUUUUUCAAGUAUAGUAGAGUCUCGUCUCCUUUCUUGUCUCCUAAAACAAGUGUGUAACAAACUUUUGUCAAUAAUAAAGCAUAUUUUACUCA